GUAACUGGUGAACCGACCCUGAUUAAAACUGCAGUGUGGCUGUUCCUAUUGUCCUGGUGCAGAAUCUCAGAGAUGCUGGUGGCCAACGGGCAUGUGAGGAGAGGUGGGAUGGAGUAAGAAUGGUGGCAGCACUGUGGUGACCCCCGUGGGGUCAGAAUGAGGAGCAAGCUUGUCUUCAGACACCAAGACACGAAUCGCUGGCAUCAAGACAUCAAUGGGAAUCUUCAGUCCAUUCUACCCAAGUCCUGUUCCCAUGGAGGGGGAGCGGACCCACCUCCAGCAAGGCCAGACUUCCCCAAGGUACACAGGCUCCUGAUGGUCCUGCACCUGAGCCCACCCAGGUCCUGCCUGCAGCAGCUGAGACCCAAAGGCACAAUGUUUUGUCGUGAUUUUCAGUGCAGUUGUCUCGUGAGCUACAUAAUUCAGACUAGCCUUGAACUCCUGAUUGUUCUCUUCAUCUCCCAAGUGACAGGAUGACAGGCCUGCCUGUGACUUCACCUGAAUUAAAAGAGGUUUAUGCAUCAGUCUGCACAGUUUGCGCUUGUCCCUUCUACUUGUGAGGACAUAGCCUUCCUUCCCUCUGGAGGAUGUUGCAACAAGGUGGGCCUCCAGACACUAAACUUGUUGUCGCCUUAACAGUGGACUUCCUGCCUCCAAAAGCAUCGGAACUAGCCUUUUUCUCCUUUGUCAAUCACCCAGACUGUGGUGCUCCCUGGCAGUAACACCAGAGGCUGAGAGACGAGGGGCGGAGCUGCAGUUCUCCAGGAAGGCCUGGGAAAGAGCCUCAAAUUCAGCACACAGGGGAGAGGGGAAGAGCCUUUCCCAGAGCAUCAUCCUUCUAGACCAGUGCGAGUGGGUUACAACGCAAUCCUCCUCCUGAUAAAUCUCCCAGCCGACUAUUCAGAAGCUACUGUGUGGGGAACAGAGCCUGGGAGAGGGAGAUCAAGCCGUUUGGGUGGAGGGGACAGUUGUUUCAGAAUGUUGUAACCAAGGAGACCGAUGCAUGGCAUACAGAUUAAAGGCUGGCAAGGGCUGAGUCCUGGCUAUGCUCGCUGGGACCUCCAUGCGCAACAGAGUCCGGAACCCCACGAGUGGCCACCCAGCCCUGUCUGCCAGGUGAGGUGUGCAGGGGCUUCUGCGAGCACAGGUGUGUCUGGAGAUGCAAAUGGAGGAAGAACUGCUGGUCAGUCACAGGGGAGCGUCUACGUUGGAGAACACCGGAGCACAGUAUGAAGGACACCAUUUGUUGACCACCUGUGGUAUGACUCACACUCUGAACGUAAGUGCUCUGUUUCUUACAGCGCCCUUUGAAGUGUCUGAGGGGUAAGCAGUUAGAAGCACAGAGACACUGAGUGACUUGUCUGAAGACACACAGGAAGUAACAGAAGCAAAGCCCAUGUGUUUUCGCUGCUCUGCUACGCACCAGAGAAGCAGAAGUUACGGGAAUGUGUCCGAGAGAGUGAGAGAAAGUGUCCAUGAAAGGAGCACACCUGGGCUUCAGCAGUAGACAGUGAGAGGGCGUGGAAGACCAGUGCUCAGAAGAAGUUAGAGGGCCUGGAGUACUGUGAGCAGAUGCUUGAAUCUGGUAGAGGAAAUACAGCAUGGUGAGACUCUCUGAGAAGGUCUAGGGCGAGCAGGACGCUUGAAGAGAUGAAGCCAAUGAAGCCACCUCAGGGGGAGGGGGAGGUGUGCACAGCUGGGAUCAAGAUGGCUGCAGCUGCCUGCUGCCCUCAAGUCCAGUCCCAACUCAUCAACGGGUGGCCUUGUCUUUUCACUGCUGCCUGUCCAAGGGCACGAGCACCUGGGACUUCUGGGGACAGUUGAAGACAGCCUUACUUGCUCUGUUCUCUCUGGUUUAGAACAGACUGUGUCCAGUUCCCAGACAUGCUCAGCUACUCUCCUAGGACCCUGGCUGGUUGCUUCUUCCAGGCGCAAGUCCCCAGGUGGCCUGUUCUGCUCCCCUGGUCAUCCUGGAGAAGCUCAGGGUUAGUUAGCAUCUCACUCUUCCCUCCAGGAACAGGCCUACCCCUACCCCACCAUGCCACACUCACCCUAGCUCUGACACGCUUGGACAGGUACACCUUAUUUGUACAAACAAGAUAUCACCAUAUAUUCCCUUUUCUGUCUACAAAUAAAAAAGCUAUAACUAA